UACGUAGGGGGCGAGCGUUGUCCGGAAUCAUUGGGCGUAAAGAGCUCGUAGGCGGUUCAGCAAGUCGGCUGUGAAAUUCCGAGGCUCAACCUCGGAACUGCAGUCGAUACUGCUGUGACUCGAGUCCGGUAGAGGAGAAUGGAAUUCCCGGUGUAGCGGUGAAAUGCGCAGAUAUCGGGAGGAACACCGAUGGCGAAGGCAGCCCCCUGGGAUGAGACUGACGCUCAUGUACGAAAGCGUGGGGAGCAAACAGG
rnacentral:rRNA from 1 species